rnacentral:rRNA from 1 species
UACGUAGGGGGCAAGCGUUGUCCGGAAUCAUUGGGCGUAAAGCGCGUGUAGGCGGUCCGGUAAGUCCGCUGUGAAAGUCGAGGGCUCAACCCUCGAAUGCCGGUGGAUACUGUCGGGCUAGAGUACGGAAGAGGCGAGUGGAAUUCCUGGUGUAGCGGUGAAAUGCGCAGAUAUCAGGAGGAACACCAAUUGCGAAGGCAGCUCGCUGGGACGUUACUGACGCUGAGGAGCGAAAGCGUGGGGAGCGAACAGG